UGGCUCACUGGUAGAGUGCUUGCCUUGCAUGCAUGAGGCCCUGAGUUCGAUUCCUCAG
rnacentral:tRNA from 1 species